rnacentral:rRNA from 1 species
AUUGAACGCUGGCGGCAUGCCUUACACAUGCAAGUCGAACGGCAGCACGGGAGCUUGCUCCUGGUGGCGAGUGGCGAACGGGUGAGUAAUACAUCGGAACGUACCCUGAAGUGGGGGAUAACGUAGCGAAAGUUACGCUAAUACCGCAUAUUCUGUGAGCAGGAAAGAGGGGGAUCGCAAGACCUCUUGCUUUAGGAGCGGCCGAUGUCGGCUUAGCUAGUUGGUGAGGUAAAGGCUCACCAAGGCGACGAUCCGUAGCGGGUCUGAGAGGAUGAUCCGCCACACUGGGACUGAGACACGGCCCAGACUCCUACGGGAGGCAGCAGUGGGGAAUUUUGGACAAUGGGCGCAAGCCUGAUCCAGCCAUGCCGCGUGAGUGAAGAAGGCCU